rnacentral:rRNA from 1 species
AUGGCUGACAAGUGCGGCAACUGCGACUGUGCCGACAAGACCCGGUGCGUGAAGAAGGGCGACAGCUAUGGCGUCGUCAUGGUUGACACCGAGAAGAGGUUGAAAGUUGGCAUGAUAUCAUCAUUUCAUGCACAUAGCAUGUGCAAGAAAGUUGAGAGCGUUACGGCAAAAACUGGAUGCACUUCGUGUACAAAACGGACAAUCUCUUUCAAAGUAUCAGCAUUUCAUCCGGAAACUCGUCUGUUACAAAGGGAUUUCAUUUUUUAA